CCUACGGGUGGCAGCAGUGGGGGAUAUUGCACAAUGGGGGGAACCCUGAUGCAGCGACGCCGCGUGGGUGAAGGAGUGCUUCGGCAUGUAAAGCCCUAUCGGCAGGGAAGAAGCAAGACGGUACCUGACUAAGAAGCCCCGGCUAACUACGUGCCAGCAGCCGCGGUAAUACGUAGGGGGCGAGCGUUAUCCGGAUUCACUGGGUGUAAAGGGAGCGUAGACGGCCAUGCAAGCCAGGGGUGAAAGCCCGGGGCCCAACCCCGGGACUGCCCUUGGGAAGGUGCGGCUAGAGUGCGGGAGGGGCAGGCGGAAUGCCUGGUGUAGCGGUGAAAUGCGUAGAUAUCAGGAGGAACACCGGCGGCGAAGGCGGCCUGCUGGACCGCGACUGACGUUGAGGCUCGAAAGCGUGGGGAGCGAACAGGAUUAGAUACCCCUGUAGUC
rnacentral:rRNA from 1 species